GGGUUGUGAGGUUAAGCGAAUGAAGCGUACACGGUGGAUGCCUAGGCAGUCAGAGGCGAUGAAGGACGUGCUAAUCUGCGAAAAGCGUCGGUAAGCUGAUAUGAAGCGUACUAGCCGGCGAUGUCCGAAUGGGGAAACCCAGUGCAUUAAUGCACUAUCGUUUGAUGAAUUCAUAGUCAAACGAGGCGAACCGGGGGAACUGAAACAUCUCAGUACCCCGAGGAAAAGAAAUCAACCGAGAUUCCCCCAGUAGCGGCGAGCGAACGGGGAGCAGCCCAGAGUCAGCAUCAAUAUUUACCGCAGGAGAAGGGUCUGGAAAGGCCGGCAAUAAAGGGUGAUAGCCCCGUAUCUGAAGCGGUAAGUGUUGUGAACUCGAAGAGUAGGGCGGGACACGUGUUAUCCUGUCUGAAUAUGGGGGGACCAUCCUCCAAGGCUAAAUACUCCUGACUGACCGAUAGUGAACCAGUACCGUGAGGGAAAGGCGAAAAGAACCCCGGCGAGGGGAGUGAAAUAGAACCUGAAACCGUGUACGUACAAGCAGUGGGAGCGCCCGAAAGGGUGUGACUGCGUACCUUUUGUAUAAUGGGUCAGCGACUUAUAUUCUGUAGCAAGGUUAACCGCAUAGGGGAGCCGUAGGGAAACCGAGUCUUAACUGGGCGUUAAGUUGCAGGGUAUAGACCCGAAACCCGGUGAUCUAGCCAUGGGCAGGUUGAAGGUUGGGUAACACUAACUGGAGGACCGAACCGACUAAUGUUGAAAAAUUAGCGGAUGACUUGUGGCUGGGGGUGAAAGGCCAAUCAAACCGGGAGAUAGCUGGUUCUCCCCGAAAGCUAUUUAGGUAGCGCCUCGUGAACUCAUCUUCGGGGGUAGAGCACUGUUUCGGCUAGGGGGUCAUCCCGACUUACCAACCCGAUGCAAACUACGAAUACCGAAGAAUGUUAUCACGGGAGACACACGGCGGGUGCUAACGUCCGUCGUGAAGAGGGAAACAACCCAGACCGCCAGCUAAGGUCCCCAAGUCAUGGUUAAGUGGGAAACGAAGUGGGAAGGCUUAGACAGCCAGGAUGUUGGCUUAGAAGCAGCCAUCAUUUAAAGAAAGCGUAAUAGCUCACUGGUCGAGUCGGCCUGCGCGGAAGAUGUAACGGGGCUAAACCAUGCACCGAAGCUGCGGCAGCGACACUUAGGUGUUGUUGGGUAGGGGAGCGUUCUGUAAGCCGUAGAAGGUGGACUGAGAGGUCUGCUGGAGGUAUCAGAAGUGCGAAUGCUGACAUAAGUAACGAUAAAGCGGGUGAAAAACCCGCUCGCCGAAAGACCAAGGUUUCCUGUCCAACGUUAAUCGGGGCAGGGUAAGUCGACCCCUAAGGCGAGGCUGAAAAGCGUAGUCGAUGGGAAACGGGUUAAUAUUCCCGUACUAAGGGUUACUGCGAAGGGGGGACGGAGAAGGCUAGGCUAUCCGGGCGACGGUUGUCCCGGUUUAAGCGAGUAGGUGGGUAGUGCAGGCAAAUCCGCACUGCUACAACACUGAGACGUGAUAACGAGCCACCAAGGUGGUGAAGUAGUUGAUGCCCAGCUUCCAGGAAAAGCCUCUAAGCGAUAGGUAAUCAUUAAUCGUACCCCAAACCGACACAGGUGGUUAGGUAGAGAAUACUCAGGCGCUUGAGAGAACUCGGGUGAAGGAACUAGGCAAAAUGGUGCCGUAACUUCGGGAGAAGGCACGCUGGCAUUAGGUGAAGGGUCUUGCAUCCGGAGCUGAAGCCAGUCGAAGAUACCAGCUGGCUGCAACUGUUUAUUAAAAACACAGCACUGUGCAAACACGAAAGUGGACGUAUACGGUGUGACGCCUGCCCGGUGCUGGAAGGUUAAUUGAUGGGGUAAGCCGUAAGGCGAAGCUCUUGAUCGAAGCCCCAGUAAACGGCGGCCGUAACUAUAACGGUCCUAAGGUAGCGAAAUUCCUUGUCGGGUAAGUUCCGACCUGCACGAAUGGCGUAAUGAUGGCCAGGCUGUCUCCACCCGAGACUCAGUGAAAUUGAACUCGCUGUGAAGAUGCAGUGUACCCGCGGCAAGACGGAAAGACCCCGUGAACCUUUACUAUAGCUUGACACUGAACAUUGAGCCUUGAUGUGUAGGAUAGGUGGGAGGCUUUGAAGUGUGGACGCCAGUCUGCAUGGAGCCAACGUUGAAAUACCACCCUUUAAUGUUUGAUGUUCUAACUUAGGCCCGUAAUCCGGGCUGAGGACAGUGUCUGGUGGGUAGUUUGACUGGGGCGGUCUCCUCCCAAAGUGUAACGGAGGAGCACGAAGGUUGGCUAAUCACGGUCGGACAUCGUGAGGUUAGUGCAAAGGCAUAAGCCAGCUUGACUGCGAGCGUGACGGCGCGAGCAGGUACGAAAGUAGGUCUUAGUGAUCCGGUGGUUCUGAAUGGAAGGGCCAUCGCUCAACGGAUAAAAGGUACUCCGGGGAUAACAGGCUGAUACCGCCCAAGAGUUCAUAUCGACGGCGGUGUUUGGCACCUCGAUGUCGGCUCAUCACAUCCUGGGGCUGAAGUAGGUCCCAAGGGUAUGGCUGUUCGCCAUUUAAAGUGGUACGCGAGCUGGGUUUAGAACGUCGUGAGACAGUUCGGUCCCUAUCUGUCGUGGGCGAAGGAAGAUUGAGGGGAGCUGCUCCUAGUACGAGAGGACCGGAGUGGACGCACCACUGGUGUACAGGUUGUCAUGCCAAUGGCAUCGCCUGGUAGCUAAGUGCGGAAGAGAUAACCGCUGAAAGCAUCUAAGCGGGAAACUUGCCUCAAGAUGAGUCUUCCCUGACAGUAAUGUCCUAUAAGGGGUGUUCGAGACGAGGACGUAGAUAGGCUGGGUGUGUAAGCGUAGCGAUACGUUGAGCUAACCAGUACUAAUGACCCGAGAGGCUUAACCUGACAACACCGAAGGUGUUU
rnacentral:rRNA from 1 species